rnacentral:tRNA from 1 species
GGUGCGCAGACAGCGGUUACUUCGACUCCUAAUCGGCAGGUCGCGGGUUCGAAUCCCGCCCGGGUCCA